rnacentral:rRNA from 1 species
AUACGGAGGAUCCGAGCGUUAUCCGGAUUUAUUGGGUUUAAAGGGAGCGUAGGUGGAUUGUUAAGUCAGUUGUGAAAGUUUGCGGCUCAACCGUAAAAUUGCAGUUGAAACUGGCAGUCUUGAGUACAGUAGAGGUGAGCGGAAUUCGUGGUGUAGCGGUGAAAUGCUUAGAUAUCACGAAGAACUCCGAUUGCGAAGGCAGCUCACUAGACUGUUACUGACACUGAUGCUCGAAAGUGUGGGUAUCAAACAGGAUUAGAUACCCUGGUAGUCCGCACAGUAAACGAUGAAUACUCGCUGUUUGCGAUACACUGUAAGCGGCCAAGCGAAAGCGUUAAGUAUUCCACCUGGGGAGUACGCCGGCAACGGUGAAACUUAAAGGAAUUGACGGGG